ACUGGGCGUAAAGCGCGCGUAGGUGGUUUGAUAAGCCGGUUGUGAAAGCCCCGGGCUCAACCUGGGAACGGCAUCCGGAACUGUCAAGCUAGAGUGCAGGAGAGGAAGGUAGAAUUCCCGGUGUAGCGGUGAAAUGCGUAGAGAUCGGGAGGAAUACCAGUGGCGAAGGCGGCCUUGUGGACUGACACUGACGAUGAGGUGCGAAAGCGUGGGUAGCAAACAGGAUUAGAUACCCUGGUAGUCCACGCCGUAAACGAUGUCGACCAGCCGUUGGGUUCCUAGCGCACUUUGUGGCGCAGUUAACGCGAUAAGUCGACCGCCUGGGGAGUACGGCCGCAAGGUUAAAACUCAAAUGAAUUGACGGGGGCCCGCACAAGCGGUGGAGCAUGUGGUUUAAUUCGAUGCAACGCGAAGCACCUUACCUACUCUUGACAUCCUGCGAACUCUGUAGAGAUACAUUAGUGCCUUCGGGAACGCAGAGACAGGUGCUGCAUGGCUGUCGUCAGCUCGUGUUGUGAAAUGUUGGGUUAAGUCCCGUAACGAGCGCAACCCUUGUCCUUAUUUGCCAGCGCGUAAUGGCGGGAACUCUAAGGAGACUGCCGGUGACAAACCGGAGGAAGGUGGGGACGACGUCAAGUCAUCAUGGCCCUUACGAGUAGGGCUACACACGUGCUACAAUGGUCGGUACAAAGGGUUGCCAACUCGCGAGAGUGAGCCAAUCCCGAAAAGCCGAUCUCAGUCCGGAUCGGAGUCUGCAACUCGACUCCGUGAAGUCGGAAUCGCUUGUAAUCGUGGAUCAGAAUGCCACGGUGAAUACGUUCCCGGGCCUUGUACACACCGCCCGUCACACCAUGGGA
rnacentral:rRNA from 1 species